CACAAUGGCUCAUUCUCAUCACAUAUCAACAACCAGUAAACUACAACUCACUAUCCUAACAAAAGGAAAGCUAUGUCGGUCCGUAUACUCCGUAGUUUUCGCACAUGGAUGCAUAUCAUGAUGAUUAUAUAAGAAUGCAUGAGGUUUCAAACAAUGGGUGGGGAAACAGGUGUGGUACUAGACUAAAAAUGAGUCUAGCCAUUCAGAGUUAGCAAAGAGUGGUAAAAAAAAUGAUGCAAACAAAACUCUGAAUGUAUGAUCCAUUACAUGAUUCUCAAGCCCCUAAGUGAGAUAAAUUAAGUCCAGAUUAAGUUCAAGUAUAUAAGAUAAAGCUCAAUUCAUCCGAAUUUCAAAGAGAUAGGGACUACUAUAAAGCGAUCUAGUGAUGGAUUUUCCUGAACUUCCAAGUUAUC
rnacentral:lncRNA from 1 species